rnacentral:rRNA from 1 species
UAGGGAAUAUUGGUCAAUGGGUGAGAGCCUGAACCAGCCAUGCCGCGUGCAGGAAGAAGGCCUUCUGGGUUGUAAACUGCUUUUGUCAGGGGAUAAAAUUUCCUUGCGAGGAAAAUUGAAGGUACCUGGCGAAUAAGCCACGGCUAACUACGUGCCAGCAGCCGCGGUAAUACGUAGGUGGCAAGCGUUGUCCGGAUUUAUUGGGUUUAAAGGGUGCGUAGGCGGUCUUAUAAGUCAGUGCUGAAAUAUCCCGGCUUAACCGGGAGGGUGGCAUUGAUACUGUAGGACUUGAGUAAAGUUGAGGUUGGCGGAAUUGACGGUGUAGCGGUGAAAUGCUUAGAUAUCGUCAAGAACACCGAUAGUGUAGACAGCUAACUAAGCUUUAACUGACGCUGAGGCACGAAAGUGUGGGGAUCAAAC